GGCUCAGAACGAACGCUGGCGGCAUGCCUAACACAUGCAAGUCGAACGGCUCUUCGGAGCAGUGGCGCACGGGUGAGUAACGCGUGGGAACCUACCUCGAGGUACGGAAUAACGGCUGGAAACGGCCGCUAAUACCGUAUGUGUCCUAAGGGAGAAAGAUUUAUCGCCUUGAGAGGGGCCCGCGUCCGAUUAGCUUGUUGGUGAGGUAAUGGCUCACCAAGGCAGUGAUCGGUAGCUGGUCUGAGAGGAUGAUC
rnacentral:rRNA from 1 species